rnacentral:rRNA from 1 species
GACGAACGCUGGCGGCGUGCCUAAUACAUGCAAGUAGAACGCUGAAGGAGGAGCUUGCUUCUCCGGAUGAGUUGCGAACGGGUGAGUAACGCGUAGGUAACCUGCCUGGUAGCGGGGGAUAACUAUUGGAAACGAUAGCUAAUACCGCAUAACAGUAGAUGUUGCAUGACAUUUGCUUAAAAGGUGCAAUUGCAUCACUACCAGAUGGACCUGCGUUGUAUUAGCUAGUUGGUGAGGUAACGGCUCACCAAGGCGACGAUACAUAGCCGACCUGAGAGGGUGAUCGGCCACACUGGGACUGAGACACGGCCCAGACUCCUACGGGAGGCAGCAGUAGGGAAUCUUCGGCAAUGGACGGAAGUCUGACCGAGCAACGCCGCGUGAGUGAAGAAGGUUUUCGGAUCGUAAAGCUCUGUUGUAAGAGAAGAACGAGUGUGAGAGUGGAAAGUUCGCACUGUGACGGUAUCUUACCAGAAAGGGACGGCUAACUACGUG